ensembl:snoRNA
CAGAAUGUUGGAAAAUUGUAUUUGUGGUUUCCAACUGCAUGGGAGAGCAACCUGGAGAGACUGACAGCCAGGUAGUACAAUACCUGCAGCUGCCACUCACCUUUACUAUAGUG